UACCUACUAAAUAUACGUUCGUAUAUUCGAUACCUACUGCCUAAUUACCUACUCGAAUAAGCAGGUAAUCGGAUACGGAGAUGUACUAGUGUAAUUGUAAUAAAGCUAAUUACUUACCUCGGCUAGGGCUUUUAGUACACUACCGAACACAAUACAAUAUCAUACGCAAAGUUCGUGUAAACGAAUGUAUUUGUCAAUAAAGACAACUUAUAACCGACUCGGAGCACUUCAAAGGGUUCAACACAACGAUUAUUCGGGGGGAAUUACAAUUACGUUAACACUACUAAAUUAUUACUAAAUUAUAAAAUAUACAAGAACACUUUAAACCUAGGGCCGGAGCUCUAAAGAAUUAAGGACAUAUUAUCUUGGCAACUCGCUUGCUUCACGAAAACGAACUACGAGUUGGUCCAGUUGCCAAAGAAGCUGGAAGGCUCAUUUGACACCUUGACCACUCAUUGUUACCAACCACAUCACCGAACGGUGCUGGAAGGGUUAAAUUACCUGUUUAUACACAUACGUGUUACCAUUAAGGCAUAUCCGUCUAACAUAUGCCCUCCGAGGUUUACUCAGCUAUGACUCAGCGAGCUAAGUUCCCAGCAGAGGAAAUCACGGUGUGAGACAUAAACAUGACUUAAUGAUAACACUGUCCGUACGGACCCUGCUGCCCCCCAUGAGUUUCUCGGGUGAGAAAUUGGUGAGCAGAGAAGAAAGAAGAAAAUUCUCAAAUUUGGAACCACAGCGCACCCUAGGUGUUGAAGCAGGCGCGUACGUGACCCACUGAGCCACCAGAGAUCGAUCACUCGAAAUACAAUGUACUCAACAAAUACACGUAACUACCUAGCUGUAGCCUAGGAUACACGACAUCGAAAAAGUUGCCAGUUAGCAAUAAUAUGAUCCUUUUUUGUUUCAGAUAUCCGUCCAAAAAGGUGAGAAUAUGGAUCGAUUGAAGAUAAGCCGCCUGAGCUCUGAACGAUGAAGCGAAUAAGAGCUACGUACGUAGCUGAGAGUUCGAUGUCCAAGUCAACAUGUCCAAAACAGGUCUAUGGGUCAUUAGCGCCUCCGAGCCGGUUCUAUUUAUCGUCGUAAAUAUUCUUAGUAAAUAAGUGCAAGUUGUAAAAAGAAAAGUGUGCAAAUUUAAGAAUAAGUUUGUACUUUUAUUUGUAUUUGAGUUACAACAUGCAUUAUAGGAUAUUGAUUAUUGUUUAUUGAGAAAAAAUAAAAAUAAAUAUCAAUACUAUUUCGUUAACUAAUUUAGACACUCAGUCUUAAAAUUUCAGUCUUUGAAAUUAAACAUAGGGAAAAUAAUCAACGAUAAAAAAUAAGGUCGUUAAGACAAAGAAAUGCUACUUACGUAGACAUAGCGUAAAAAAAAAAAAAAUCACUGAAUUCAUACACGAACUGUUAUACCACCUCGAA